rnacentral:rRNA from 1 species
GAUGAACGCUGGCGGCGUGCCUAAUACAUGCAAGUCGAGCGAACGGACGAGAAGCUUGCUUCUCUGAUGUUAGCGGCGGACGGGCGAGUAACACGUGGAUAACCUACCUAUAAGACUGGGAUAACUUCGGGAAACCGUAGCUAAUACCGGAUAAUAUUUUGAACCGCAUGGUUCAAAAGUGAAAGACGGUCUUGCUGUCACUUAUAGAUGGAUCCGCGCUGCAUUAGCUAGUUGGUAAGGUAACGGCUUACCAAGGCAACGAUGCAUAGCCGACCUGAGAGGGUGAUCGGCCACACUGGAACUGAGACACGGUCCAGACUCCUACGGGAGGCAGCAGUAGGGAAUCUUCCGCAAUGGGCGAAAGCCUGACGGAGCAAUGCCGCGUGAGUGAUGAAGGUCUUCGGAUCGUAAAACUCUGUUAUUAGGGAAGAACAUAUGUGUAAGUAACUGUGCACAUCUUGACGGUACCUAAUCAGAAAGCCACGGCUAACUACGUG